AUUGACGCUGGCGGCAGGCCUAACACAUGCAAGUCGAACGCGUGGCGGACGGGUGAGUAAUGUCUUGGAAACUGCCCGAGGGGGGGGGAUAACUACUGGAAACGUUAGCUAAUACCGCAUACCAUCGGAUGUGCCCAGAUUGGAUUAUCUUGUAGGUGAGGUAAUGGCUCACCUAGGCGACGAUCCCUAGCUGGUCUGAGAGGAUGACCAGCCACACUGGAACUGAGACACGGUCCAGACUCCUACGGGAGGCAGCAGUGGGGAAUAUUGCACAAUGGGCGCAAGCCUGAUGCAGCCAUGCCGCGUGUAUGAAGAAGGUCUUCGGGUUGUAAAGUACUUUCAGUGGGGAGGCGUUACCAGCAGAAGAAGCACCGGCUAACUCCGUGCCAGCAGCCGCGGUAAUUC
rnacentral:rRNA from 1 species